rnacentral:rRNA from 1 species
CAGUCGCCGCGGGAAUACAGAGGGUGCGAGAGUUAAUCGGAUUUACUGGGCGUAAAGCGUGCGUAGGCGGCUUCUUAAGUCGGAUGUGAAAUCCCUGAGCUUAACUUAGGAAUUGCAUUCGAUACUGGGAAGCUAGAGUAUGGGAGAGGAUGGUAGAAUUCCAGGUGUAGCGGUGAAAUGCGUAGAGAUCUGGAGGAAUACCGAUGGCGAAGGCAGCCAUCUGGCCUAAUACUGACGCUGAGGUACGAAAGCAUGGGGAGCAAACAGGAUUAGAUACCCCUGUAGUCCCUGUCUCUUAUAC